rnacentral:rRNA from 1 species
GCUACGGGAGGCUGCAGUGAGGAAUAUUGGUCAAUGGCCGAGAGGCUGAACCAGCCAAGUCGCGUGAGGGAAGACGGCCCUACGGGUUGUAAACCUCUUUUGUCGGGGAGCAAAGCGAACCACGUGUGGUUCAUUGAGAGUACCCGAAGAAAAAGCAUCGGCUAACUCCGUGCCAGCAGCCGCGGUAAUACGGAGGAUGCGAGCGUUAUCCGGAUUUAUUGGGUUUAAAGGGUGCGCAGGCGGAGGUGCAAGUCAGCGGUCAAAUUGCGGGGCUCAACCCCGUACUGCCGUUUAAACUGCAUCCCUUGAGUGCGCGAGAAGUAUGCGGAAUUCGUGGUGUAGCGGUGAAAUGCUUAGAUAUCACGAAGAACCCCGAUUGCGAAGGCAGCGUGCCGUGCCGCCACUGACGCUGAGGCACGAAAGCGCGGGGAUCGAACAGGAUUAGAUACCCCUGUAGUC